AUGGAGGAACAAGACUAUAUGCAGGAAAUUCCAGUGCAUGUUAUCAUUAAGCUCAAACGUCCAAGGAAACCCAUCAACGUAAUGAAGAUUUGCCUCAAACUGUUAGAACGUGCUGUUGCACAGCAGUCUUCCCAGUAUACACCUGCAUCUACCUCAAGGCUGUCUGCAAUGUCUCCAUCAAACUGGGGAGGAAGCGACACUCGUCUCAUGAUCCCAGUGAUGCUGUUCGUGAAAUCUGCAAGAGAAUGGCACUACACUCUCUGCUUUGUGUUAAAAGGCAACUGAACUCUCAGAAUGGGUAUGUCCAACAUUCAAAGAUUUCUCCAGAUACCGUUAUUGAAAUCCAUUUAACAGCCUUCUUCAGCCAGUUCAGUCUGUUAGUUACUUCUCUUAAUACUAUCAUUAAUAGAUCUACAAAAUUUUGUCCUGUCAUUUAUGUUCCGCAGGUGGACUUUUCUCAUAACACAGUUUUGUUACUCAUCAAAAGAGUAAAUGACUUCAACUAAUUGCUAUGAGUGGUACGUACUUCUAGAUUUCUUGAUUAUUAUUUUUUUAUUUUACAGCAAUUUUAAUUUGUUUUAUCCAAGAGCAAUCCUAGUAUGUGCCAUCAUUGCCUCAGAACUGCGGAUUCAAAGGAAAUCAGAAAUGGUUUUUAGAUUACCAAUGAAAUUUAGAACAAAUUGAAAUUGCACUCUAUAAGUGUGUUCUUGGGUAGGAAAGCAGACUAUAUUUUCAGGCUAUCAUAAAAUUUGCUCUUUUCAGGCUUUGCAAUUACAGUAACAGUGACUAUGUAUAGUAUGCAAGGACUUUCCAUUUCAUCUUGUAUGUAACACACUAACAAGACACAAUUUUUUGAUAUCUUAGUUUAAAAUUAACAAAGACUGUCCAAAACCAAAGUAUCACUUGCAAACUUAACUAUAGUUUAUCUGUGGAUUAAAAAAUUCCACAUGUGAAACCUGUGCAAACUUUUAACUUUUCAUUACAAAAUUCCCAGUUUUAUGUAAGUCUCUGUCUCUCUG
rnacentral:lncRNA from 1 species